rnacentral:rRNA from 1 species
GGAACACCGGUGGCGAAAGCGGCUCUCUGGCUUGUAACUGACGCUGAGGCUCGAAAGCGUGGGGAGCAAACAGGAUUUGAUACCCUGGUAGUCCACGCCGUAAACGAUGAGUGCUAGGUGUUAGACCCUUUCCGGGGUUUAGUGCCGCAGCUAACGCAUUAAGCACUCCGCCUGGGGAGUACGACCGCAAGGUUGAAACUCAAAGGAAUUGACGGGGGCCCGCACAAGCGGUGGAGCAUGUGGUUUAAUUCGAAGCAACGCGAAGAACCUUACCAGGUCUUGACAUCCCUCUGACCGCUCUAGAGAUAGAGUUUUCCUUCGGGACAGAGGUGACAGGUGGUGCAUGGUUGUCGUCAGCUCGUGUCGUGAGAUGUUGGGUUAGGUCCCGCAACGAGCGCAACCCCUAUUGUUAGUUGCCAUCAUUCAGUUGGGCACUCUAGCGAGACUGCCGGUAAUAUACCGGAGGAAGGUGGGGAUGACGUCAAAUCAUCAUGCCCCUUAUGACCUGGGCUACACACGUGCUACAAUGGCUGGUACAACGAGUCGCAAGCCGGUGACGGCAAGCUAAUCUCUUAAAGCCAGUCUCAGUUCGGAUUGUAGGCUGCAACUCGCCUACAUGAAGUCGGAAUCGCUAGUAAUCGCGGAUCAGCACGCCGCGGUGAAUACGUUCCCGGGCCUUGUACACACCGCCCGUCACACCACGAGAGUUUGUAACACCCGAAGUCGGUGAGGUAACCAUUNGGAGCCAGCCGCCU